GAUUUGAAAAAUUUCAGAAAAUGAUUUCACAAAAAAGGAGUGUUCAUGUAGUUGCAUUACAUUUAGGAUCGAGUCUAGAGUGUUUCAUUUAGGAUUGUUGCAUAUGCAUAGGGGAUGAUGAUGAGAUAGCCUUGUAAGAAUUUUGAUUCACCGGAUAAACUCAGUGCCCUCGUUGCUAGUUGUCUGUUGCGUAGUCAAUGAAUUUGAAAUAAAACUGAACCAUGCCUAGAUUGCUCUACUCGACCACACUGUCAUGAUCUGAUACCAUUCCCUAUCAAUUUGAACCUAAAUCUGAUCUUUAAUUAUCAUGUCUGCAUCAAAUUUGAACUCAUGGAUACCCUAAAAUACUUGGAUUUUCUUAUUCAUUUUGAUCACUCUUGUUAAUCCAAGUAGCUGACUCUCCUUAUUAGAGCAGUUAACCCAAACCCAAACUUAGACUUUCUUUCAAGCCCUAUAUCACUUGUGAGUGUUUGUGAGGUCUUAUUCCGAUUAAGCUUGGUAGAAAGUGUUAGGUUCGUAACGACAGAGAUAGUGUCUCAUGUAGUUCUAGUUCGCAUUUUUCGGACUAGAUAGGACUAGGUGGGCGCUUAUACUUUGGGUUGGGAUGUGUUUAAAAGAAAAAAAGGGGUCGAUUCAUUGAUAAGAAAAGGUAAAAGACUCUAGGUGAAGUAAGCUAAAGAAGCAGAAAAAGUCUAGAAAAGGUUUUGGGAUUUGUAAAGAAAAGAAAGAGUUCUUGUUAGCUGUUGAAGAUGGGCAAAAGCCCUUGGUUUUAGAAU
rnacentral:sRNA from 1 species